ensembl:lncRNA
CUUCUGACCUGAAAACAAAUGAAAAUACUUUUGUUAGCUCCUAAAAGUUCUGUGAACCAUAGGUGCUGUGUCUAAUAGAAAAGACAGAAUUCUGCAAUAUGAAUACUAAGUCUCUCAAGUUGUGGGAAAGAAUGGGGAUAAAGGAAAAGCAAUAUGGUCCAACUUAAAUGGGGGCGGGUUCAGCACACAGUCCAGAAACAGUCAUGGACAGCAGGAGGCACUUCAUGUUCAAAAUAUGCACUUUAGUGGAGUUGGUCACUAGGAUACUCUUAGUGACUUUAUUUUGAAAGAUGUUAUUAAGAAUUUAUUUUUUCACGCAGUAUAUUUUCAGGUGUCUUGUUGCCCAUUUUGGAGUUACAUUAUUAACGGGGGAUAUUUAUUUUAGAAAAUAAGCUUCAUCCUGCCGAUUUGCAAAUUGCUGUAGAUUCUAAAGUCUAGAAUUUCAGUCAAAGGUCCCUCACAAACUCCUUGGCCCUGGCGCACCAGAUAAAUCACAUCUGAAAACAAACAAGCGGCUCCCUAUGGAAGGUGUGUCUGCACAGCCAUGUGACGGCGUGCCAGUGGCUCCGUCUGGCACAUUUCUGAACUUUGCAAAAUUAAUUGUGCUAAAGAGAACACCAUCAAACGCGUCCGGCACAGAGCGUAAACAUCUUCAAACCACGACUCUGCGCCAUAAAACACUCCUACCAAUUUCAUUUGGUGCAUUACUCUGGAAGGAACACCGAGGCCAAGUGAAACUGCGGAAAUGGGAACAAUGCACGGAGGAAAAAUCUCACCCCAUUAAGGGAUCCGUUUCUUCUCUGCACAAAUAAGCCCACCACGCCUCAGAGGCACGACUAGAUGGCUCCAGGAUGUUCUCAGUUGCCCCCGCAGGCCCUCAGGAGCUGAGAGGUCCCCUCACCAAGAAAAUAGGGGAACUGAGUGGCAGCGCCCCGGCUUGGUGGCAGUUUAGGUAAUGCACAAAAUCAGAAAGAAAGAAAGGAAAAAAAAAAAAACCCNNNNNNNNNNNNNNNNNNNNNNNNNNNNNNNNNNNNNNNNNNNNNNNNNNNNNNNNNNNNNNNNNNNNNNNNNNNNNNNNNNNNNNNNNNNNNNNNNNNNAUUGGCGUCCGUGUGCCUUUUCGGGGCGACACGAGUUUCCUCCUCCGCGCACGGCUUGCAAAGUGCAAUGACAGCGGUUUGGGAGCUGCGCUUCUUCCCGCAGGGCCGCCUGGACUCCGCUGGCCUUUCCGGAGGCUUUGCACCCGCAGGGCCGCUGCGCUCUCGCCCGCCGCUCGGUGACCUUGCAAGGCUGGCCGCGCGACCGGAGUCUCGGCAGAGGCACCUCCCUGGGCGCCGGGCCCGCGCGCGACCCAGCAGCUCCGACUCACGCGCGGCCUCGCGUCCCCGCGGGCCCGCGUCCCCGUGCGCGCGGCAGGGCCGGCGGAGAAGGCUGCGGGGGCGCGCGGGGCGGGGCCUGGGCGGGGCCUGGGUGCUGAGCCCCCCGCCGAGCUCCUCGCAGGCGCCGCCUCCGGGCGCGCAGUCUGCGCCGGAGCGUCUCGGCAGUGGCCGCGGCCGUUAUCGUCGCCUGGCGCUGCGGUGGCUCGCGGGGUUGGGAGAAGGCAGCGGCGGCCGGUCGUCGGUGGCCGCUAGAGCCGGCCUGCAAGGGGACAGGGGCGCCAGGACGGCGGCUGCUACCACCGGACUGCUCCUUCAGGACUACAGUCCUGUGCUGCAGGGUCCGGGCUGCCCCGGGGCGGCGGCCGACUGGGAUGGCAAGAUAGCGGCGCGGGAGCGGCCGGCAAUUUUCGGGAAACUGAGAUCCAGCUUAUACGGGACAAACAGACUGGCUGUCAUGAGUUUCCAUCUGAAUUGUGGAGAUGGAUUAAAAACGUGAGAGAGCAGUGAAGAAAGAUGGUAUCCGGUUAAGGACCAGGGAAACGAACCUGCCCUGCCCUGUGCAGCCGAGGCAGAGGGGCGUGGCUGAGGUAGAGAGGGGCGUGGCUGAGGUGGAUAGGGUCGCCCUGAAGACUGCUGCCUGUGGCCAGAGAAGCCUCCCUAGGGUAGAUUGGUAGGAGCUGAGCAGUGUAUGAUUCUGGAGAAAGGGGAAGUGUAGCUCAGGUAGAGGGUACUGCACGAAUCAACAUCCAGGCGGCGCCAUAGGACCACCACGGUGCUAUGCUACUACUGGGGAGAAGGGCAGGCUGCGGGCAUGUGCUUGGAUUGGGGUGCUGCGCAUGGAGAAGAGAGUGGAAGAAUUCCUCCAUGCUGGCUCCAGGAGUUCAGGGACAGGUCUUGCUGUUUCCUGUGGCACGCACAGCCAAGGCUGCACCUCCGUCCUGCAUUAUUUGUUGAGUAGAUGAG